rnacentral:sRNA from 1 species
GAAAACAAGUAACAUAUAAAAAAAAGUGCUAGUUUUUCCAAGUAAUGAUAAACACCAACCUUGGAGAGGUUAGUGAAUCAAAUCUUGUGGGUGAAGUGAAUCCCAAAACUCUAUUUCUACAAUGACUUUCAGGUUUAUUUCCUAUUUAUAUUAUGUCCUUCAACUGCAGGAUAUUUCAGGGUUGUCUAUUUUUAGUGCACUCAAGUACCACUCCACAGAGGAGUGGAGACUUCACAUGUCACUAUACGAUUGUAGCAGUCCUGGAUUGUACCUGCCUGGCUGCCCUGGUUACUCUCAGGUGUCUUCUAGCUAAUGGGUGAUAGGGUUUCUCUGUCAAAAAUCGAAAGGAGCACAGCGAAGUGACUCGUGUAAAGGAUCUCAUUUGAGAGGUGCCGAAGGGACAGAGACUUGUCAUUGCCAAAGUUUUACACUACCACUUUGGCUGCAUUCAGACUCAAGACAAUUCUUCUAUGCCAGCCUUCUAACCACUGGGAUUGCAGUUGUGAGCUGUGGUGCUCGGCUUUCAGCAUUCUCAAAAUUAGAAUACAGACUAUCAAUUUUUCUUCUUAAAUUUCUUUGAAGAUUGUGAAACAAACAAACAAACAAACAAACAAAAAAAACAAUGAUUAUAUGGAUGUCAAGUUGUCUGUGUCUUUAGAAGAGAAAACAAAUCUUCCCUUUCCCUUGUCCAUCUACAAAACUCCUUUAAGGAAGCACAGCACAGAGUAAAGGGCUUGCCCUUCACCUCCAAGUAGAGAUGGCGUGCUCACCAAGCACCCCCAUGAGGAAAGAGGCCGAAAACAAAACUCUGCUAGAGCGCCAUCAGCUUACAGAGAGAUUGAUGCAUUCAAUUUAUGUCACAGCUUUGGCGUGACUGUCACCUAAUUGGUGAUCUUGCUCCCUUCCUCUGCUCCCAGCUGCCACCGGUGACUACCAGCCUGUCAUUACCUCUUUUCUCUCACCACUAUUUCAUUGUGACCAUUUGACCUUUCGUUUCUUUUUGUUUCCCAUAGUUAGUUCCUUAACCCACGUUUCGUUCUCACUGUGAUCUGAUCUCUUUUAAAGAUGCCUGGACUAACUAGCUACAUUUUCAUUUUUGGUACUUGGUGUAAUUAAAAGCUCACACAAUUCUAGGUCUUAAACAGUACUUGAUAAUUUCCCAGAAGGGUAAAUGAUUAUGGAUUCCUAACACUGAGAACAUCUUAUUAUUUCUGCCUCCUACUAAAAUGCUGUAUUACAUACAAAGUGAAUACUUAAAAUUGCUGUUUAUUUCUUUGUUUGAGAUUGAUGCCUUGUAGAAAAGUUGAUGGUUCUUUCCCACUUAACAUUAAAUGGUUUUGUCCCUUGGAA